rnacentral:rRNA from 1 species
GUGCUCUGGCGGCGUGCUUAACACAUGCAAGUCGAACGAACCUUCGGGUUAGUGGCGGACGGGUGAGUAGCGCGUGAGAAUCUGCCCUCAGGAGGGGGACAACAGCUGGAAACGGCUGCUAAUACCCCAUAUGCCGCGAGGUGAAAUGAAUUUCGCCUGAGGAUGAGCUCGCGUCUGAUUAGCUAGUUGGUGUAGGUAAUGGCUCACCAAGGCAUCGAUCAGUAGCUGGUCUGAGAGGAUGAUCAGCCACACUGGGACUGAGACACGGCCCAGACUCCUACGGGAGGCAGCAGUGGGGAAUUUUCCGCAAUGGGCGAAAGCCUGACGGAGCAACGCCGCGUGAGGGAUGAAGGCCUCUGGGCUGUAAACCUCUUUUAUCAAGGAAGAAGAUCUGACGGUACUUGAUGAAUAAGCCUCGGCUAAUUCCGUGCCAGCAGCCGCGGUAAUACGGGAGUGGCAAGCGUUAUCCGGAAUUGUUGGGCGUAAAGCGUCCGCAGGCGGCCCUUCAAGUCUGCUGUUAAAAAGUGGAGCUUAACUUCAUCAUGGCAGUGGAAACUGUUGGGCUUGAGUGUGGUAGGGGCAGAGGGAAUUCCCGGUGUAGCGGUGAAAUGCGCAGAUAUCGGGAAGAACACCAGUGGCGAAGGCGCUCUGCUGGGCCAUCACUGACGCUCAUGGACGAAGCCAGGGGAGCGAAAGGGGAUUAGAUACCCCUGUAGUCCUGGCCGUAAACGAUGAACACUAGUGUCGGGGGAAUCGACCCCCUCGGUGUCGUAGCCAACGCGUUAAGUGUUCCGCCUGGGGAGUACGCACGCAAGUGUGAAACUCAAGGAUUGACGGAGG